AAAACACAAAACAAAAGUACCUGUAGCACACACACACAAAAAAAGCCCCCACCCCCCAAAAAAAACAAUGGCGAUUUCUGUCUUCUUUAAGAGAAAUUAGGAGAUAAUUUGAUGCGAUCUGGAUUUGCACCGCUGAAAUACGAGUCCAGAGCUGGUAAAUUUCAGACAGCCAUCUCACCGUCCAGGGGAGGUGGGCCUUGCCUCCCCACACACAGUCCCCGCCACUUCCCGCAGCCUCCCCUUCUCCUCUGCUCUGAAGUCUCCCAUCAGCUGCCAUUUCCCAUAAGGGUUACAAGGUUGGUAUUUUAUAGGAAAGAAAUAUCUUCUUCCAACGUCACUGUCAAAUACGGGGACAUGACGGACCUGAAGGAUUAUAUAUCAAGGGGAAAAAAAUCAUUCUUUGCUUCAUUCUACAACUAUUUAUUGAAGACCUACUAUGAGCCAGGUACUGUUUUAAACACUAAGGAUAUAAGGGCAGGGUCGGGGGGAAUGGACAUGUUCCUCCCCCUGUCAAGCCGUUUCUUAUUUGUAAGAGAGAGACGAUAAACAAAAAAUACAAUAGCACUGCAGAGAGUGGUAUAUAAUAUGAGAAGAAAAAAAAAGCAGGGGUAGAGUAAGGGUGGAGGGUCGGGAUGGGGUGAAGGGGCAGAUAUGUUGGUCACAGAAGGCCGCUCCAAUGAAGUGGCAUUUGAACAGAAAUCAGAAUGAACUGGAGGAGUGAGCUUUGAGAAAGUGUAUUUCUUUGUGGAAGGGAAAAAAUUCUUUCAAUGUAUUUAAUAUGCAAAGGGCCUUUGUGUCAAAAGAACUCAGGCACUAUUACAAAAUAAACCAAGGUAAAAAUUAUGGAACAGCAAACAGAAAAAUUGAGGCCCAGUCUUCAAGAAGCCUGCUUUUUAAAUGACUUUUAAAUUAAAUGAUCUUUAAAAGAAAGAUCUAUAUUUUGAAUUUUUAUAUUCAUUUCACUAAAGACCAAAAUCCAGUUUGAUAUUAGCAACCUAAUUACAUUUCCAUCUUAGUGACCUUAUGGGAUAGGGAAGAAUAUCUCCAUUCUACAGAUAGAAAAGCAAGGCUCAGAACCGUUAAAACUCGCUGCGCAUGGCAGCAUCGUUACUACGUAGACAGGACAAGGCUAUCCUGAUUCCAGUCCCAGCGAAUUUCCAAGGCUAGUGCUUUAAUAUGUUCCUCCUCUGAAGCACCUGUAACAAGAGCAGAGCGAAAGCAAACCUGGGUGAGGAAGUGAGGGGGUACAGAGUUUUAGAGGGCCAGGAAGUGUUUCUGAGCAACCGGCUCUAGAUACAAAAUUUCUUUAUGAUCUCAUGUUUUUUUUGAAAUACAAACACAUUUUACAUUUGUUCCAUAAUGUAUCUGUAUUCUUUCAAUUUUGAUCAAAUAAACACACUACAAGAAGAUGUGCUGUUUUUACUGCUUAACUUUGCCUACCAUCCCCCCCAAAUGCACUGAGUACCCCAGUUUAGAAAACAGGGCCAGAAGGUCUGCAGAAUUAACAAGUAGAACCAGAGCCAACAGGGACUUGAAGACCCAUCAGGGCUACAGACCAUGAUAUUCUCCAUCAAAUGCACAAUUAUUAAGAUACAUAAAGAUAAUUAAAAUACUCUCUACAUUGCAAACAUAAGCAAGCAUGUAUUACAAAAUGGUAUUCAAGAUCAAACAUUCAGUUUAUUACUUUAGUGUAAUUUUCAAGAUGUUGUGCACAUCUGGAGUUAAAAUAACACAAUCUAAGAAAACUGGGGAUGGUAAGGUCCAAGAAUAAAGUUAUUGUCUUUGCACACAAAUCAGUGGAUUGCUGAGACAAUUUUUCCUUUACUGCAUAGUUAUUAUUUCAUUAAGGGUAAAAUACAACGUUACUGUUCCGGAAUGUAUCACAUAGAUGUUUCCAAGGGUUGGUGUCUCUGCACUCUUCUAAUCAUAAACUGUUACAGAUGGGUUUCUGGGGUUCUGUGGAUCACAUGAUAAAAAUAACUCUCCCUUGCCUUGUCUUUCAAUCUUUGUGUAAUUGCAGGGGGUACUUAUCAGUUUUUGGCUCAUCUGUAAUGGAGGACCCUCUUCCCUGACUUUUCCCUAAAGGACUCUAUUUAUAUUGCACCUGAUAUGUACCCAGUCUCCAAGUAGAAGGAUGAACUUGGCAAGAGUCUUUCUUCAACCCAUUCAUCACAGCCAUUGCAAAUGUCUGGCAUGAGUCCACGUUAUUUCCCUCACAUUCCAACGCAUGUUGUUCCAAGACAUCUUUCCACGUACCAUGUAGGAAAUAGCUCCAUGCACCAAGAAACAAAACCCAGCCAAGGAAUCUGAUAUUCUGUCCAAAGACCUUUGAAGAAGAUGCUGAUGUUGGUUCACUUGAACUAAAGGCUUCUAGAAAUAAAUCUGCGUAUGAGUUAGUAGUGGAUUUAAAAGAAGGAUGCAGAACUGUCCUUCUAGGGCCCAUUUCAAGGGAGGGGGGAAAAAGAGACUUGUUUCAUCUGCAAACCAUUUGAGGAAGCAACUGACAGGGAAGUUCUCUUCACAUGCUUUGCUGUGGCCUCUAACCUUCUGCUGCUUCCCUCCCUUCCCUUCCCCCACCGCCUUACUCCUGUUCUUUAAAAGCACUGAUGAUGCAAAUCACCGUAGCCCCCACUUGCUCCAUUGCCCUAGGUCAGGCUGUCCUUAUCUGUCUUCCCCAUUGCUGGAACCGCCUGUCUCUAGCAUCUCCUCUCUCAGGUCUACCCUCCCCACUGCUGCCAGAGCAAACUUAGCAAAGCACAGAUCUCAUCCAGUCCCUCUCCUGAUUAAAAGUCUCAGAAGCUCCCCAUACCUGCAGGGGAAGGUCCUUCUCAUAGGACCCGGAUUACCUUUCUCUCCCAUCUCCGACAGUUCCCUGCCCCAUGUACUCUGGGCCCUGCUCUUCCUCCAACACACCUGUGCACCUGCUGGCCUCUCCAAACGGAAAACCUGUCUCUCUGCCUGUCUGGCUUCUGUUUGAAUUCCUUCACAAUUCAGCUCUCCUCUCUCAAACAUCCCCACUCCACCGCAGCUCUGCUCAGAGCAUCUCAAACAGAGCUCUAACUUAGCAAGUAUAUUUUAACUUCAUUUGUUUUACCACCUCUACCCAGGACUCACCAUCCCUCAGAGGAUAAAGACCAGGUCUUCAAUUCAUAUCCCCUUCCCCCCAGGGGCAUUAACUCCCCACACAUCCAAUCUACCCUGCCUUAAAAAAACCCCAAGGCUGGAAGCAGAGAGAUGUAGCACGUGCUUGAGAUGGGCUCCCAGGAGCAACACCGGGACCUGCCCAGCACAGCUGCAGCAGAAAUGAGGCAAAGACUCCAGCAGGUGCUGCCUGUGCCCUGACCAUCGCCUCUCAGACCCGUCAUUUUAGUGCAUGCUGGCAGGACUCCCCCACGACACACCUGCAUCUCUGGGCCAGAGCCCACUUUCCUGCAGUAUAUUUGACCAGAAGUGCCAGAGAAUUAACACCCCCUUAGAAGCAUCCCUCAACCAAUGACCAAGAGGACUGCUCCUCAGGACUCUGCAUGGUUAUCGAGUGAAACCCAGUCUUCUAUUAUAAUUUACAUUUUUAUGGGACUUCCCUGGUGGCGCAGUGGUUAAGAAUCUGCCUGCCAGUGCAGGGGACAUGGGUUCAA